AGGUAACUGUGGAGCAGAGCCACACAGGAACUGCCAACACUAGCUCCUUCCCCUCUCAGAACAGAAGUCUCCGUGGGUCUGCUGCCAACUGUCUCAAACCUCAGCUCAUCUCUUCCAUCAUGAAUUCAGUCCUGUGACCAGCUGCUCAGGACUGGCUCACGUCUUUCUGGCCUGUUUCUCCCACAAACCUCUCUGCUCUCCUCACUGUCGCUGGGUUGCCUGCAUCUGUACUUCAGCCUUUGGAUUACAGGCCAGCUCUGUGGGAAACCGGUCUUCUGGCUUGGCUGGAAUCUCACCUGUGUGUGCACCUUGUAGCUGCCUGUCUCAAGAGAUUCGCAACCCGCAAGGCAAGGACAUGAUCUUUUCUCCUCACAUACCCAGGUAUUCGGUUAUGCGAAGAAGCCUGAGUCUGGCAUGAUUUAGAAGCUUUUGGCAAGGAUGAUAGCAGCUGGAUGAAGUAUCCAACACAGUCCUGGGAACAGUGAUACCAUUAAAUGCCUGCAGACUAGCUGGAUAAAUAAGCAGACAAAUAUAAAGGGAUCUUGAGUAGAAAGGCCAUUAUGAAGCAAGCUGAGCCUUGGAUUCUCCUGGAUCUUUAAAUACAUUAACUAUGCAUAGAAACAUAUGAAGAAAAGACAUCAUUAUCAAAGGGCUACAUAAUGUGAUAUGAUGUACCUAGAUGAAAAUAUAGAUGUACUGCCACAAAUAACCAUACACAUAUAUGUACAUACACUGUGCUCCCUCCUGCCAAGACUGUCUUAAUUUGGGAAUCAUUCUUCACCAGUUUCCUUUUCAUUGCUAAGCUACAAAGGAAAAAAAAGACAAAGGGGCAGAAGAAAAAGAAGCCCACUUCACUGUACAGAGAAGUUGCUGGGGUUCAUCUUUCGUGUGGUAAAGUUAUUAAAGAGACUGUGUGAUGCUGAUCUGCACAAGAACACAGGAGGCCAUCAGUAGCUACAGUAGUAAUUAGACUCUCCACUAAGAAGUACCAAGUAAGAAGAAAUGCAAUAUAGGUGUUACAUAUAUCAACUGUGAUAGAAACUCCUGAGCCUCACCAGUAAAAGCCUUGUGAAGGAAUGAACUACAGAUCCUGGCAUGGGACAUGAAGCAGCCUCCAGGAUGGUCUAGAGAAUGUGGCAGGAAAAUAUUUGGUUGCUUAUUAGAAGAACUGUGUCCACUGAAUUGAUACAUUUUAAAUUUAUUUUGUUUAUUUUUUAUGUGUAUGUGGGUGACCCUCCUGAUUUUUCGUCAGUGUAGCUUUUACAUUCCCGAUGCCCACAUAGGCAUGAAAAGGGCAUUGGUUCCUCUCAGAUUGGAAUUACAAAUGGUUAUGCGCUGCCUUAUGGCUGCUGGGCAUUGAACCUGGGUCCUCCGAAAUAGCAAUGUGUAAUGUGUGCUUUUAAUCACUUAGACAUCUCUGCAGACCAUCCCUACUGUUUAAUAUAAAUAUAGAGAGGCCUUGUGUUUUAUUACAACAGCUGAAAAAGGUAAAGUAGAUAAUACAUAGCAAACAAGACCAUGGUUGUCAUUGAAUCCAGUGUCAUAUAGUUCCAAGCCCAAAGACAUCUCUAACAAUGGUACUCUGCCAGAUAAUCAACCUAGAGUUCAACCUAGAGACCACAGAAAAACAUUAGUUUAAUAACAUUUACAUUUACAAACCAACUCACCAUUCCAAGGUAUGUGGAGAUCAAGUUACAGAGAAAUCUUGAAACGUGUCAGUAACUAUGGCCUACUCACAUUAUAGAACAUAUUCAAUUGGCUUGCUGAAAUUCUCAUUAAGAAUGUAAGGUUCCUUUUGUGUACCAAUCAGCCAUCUUGAUAUGGCACUUGAUAGGUGUCUAGCUCAGAAGCAGACGCCCAAGGCAGGACCACAGUAAUCUGCCACAUCUAUAUUUUGUCAACGAAACAGCUAGAUGAAAUUCAAUUAGUGGCGUGCUGUGAGUCAUUUGUGUCUAUGAUAUGCCUGUGCCUAACUUGAUGGCUUAUUGUGUGAUAAAUAAAAGGAAUCUUCUGAGGACAUGCCUUUUUGGUACAGAGGUUUCAUAUUUGAAUUGCUGGGGAAUUAAUGUUUUUAAGAGAAUCACCCAUGGUUGUUUCCUCCUUUUAAAAGUUGUUGAUGAAAGCAAAUAUUUUAAUCAGAAGUCUCUUGUCCUAUCUUUAGUUACUUAGCCAAUCACCCCCAUCUCUACCCUUCAGCAUCAUAUUCUCUGUCUUGUCCACACUCUAUAGCAUGCUCAAAAUAAGCAUUGAUAGUACUAACUUACCCCUCAUCUUAUUUAAGGUUUUGAUAGACUUCUAUCUCCUUUAUAAAAUAUGUUGUAUGUGCAUGAACGCUAAAAAGUUUUCAAGUGUAAAUAGUGUAAAUCAUUUCUUUGCCAUGGAAAUCUUCUACAUUUUGGUAUUUUCCAUAGCCAGGAAUUGCCUUUGUGCUAUUCAAACUACCCUUCUCUGUGACAAAUGACUGAGGGAAACAACACAAAAAGAAAAAAAUAAAAUGGUGCCCAAGUUCUGAGGUCUCUGAACAAUGUUCAUUUGCUUCAUUGUUAUGAGGCUCCAACAAACAGCCAUCUAAAAUAGAUGCAGAGACCUACAGCCAAACAUUAGACGGAGCUCACGGAGUCUUGUGGAAGACUUGGGGGAAGGAUUGAGAGACUCAAAGUGGGUAGGAACUCCAGAGGAAGACCAAGAGAGUCAACUAACCUGGACAUUUGGGAGCUUCCAGAGACUGAACCACCAAACAAAGAGCAAGAAUGGAUGGGACCUAGGCCUCUCACACAUAUGUAGCUUAUAUGCAGCUCGAUGUUCAUGUGGUCCCCCAACAACUGGAACAGAGGCUAUCCUUGAACUUAUUUCCCGCCGGCGGAUCCCAUACCCUGAUCUGGGCUACCUUGUCUAGCCUCAGUUAAAGAGGGUACCCUUAAUUUUGAGGUGACUUAUAUGCAGAGCUGGGGAAGAAUUCCCCCUUCUCAGAGGAAGAGGGAGAAUAGGAGAAUCUGAGGGGUGGUACCUGGUAUCAGAGGUUGCUGAUAUUGGGAAACAAAGUGAAUAAAUAA